rnacentral:lncRNA from 1 species
GAAAAUAUUUUAUUUGUGACUUCAACCUAGCCUGUACUUUUAAAUCCAAAAAUUAGAAGACAUGAUGAAAAUUGCAACAAAGAUAACAUUUGUGAUGAUUCUUCUUGCUUUAGUAGUCACCAAUGGUAAGUAUUUUUCUUUUUAUCUUGUAUUUUUUUUCUUUCAAUAUCUAAAUUAUUGUAUUACCAAAGACCAAUUAAUCUUGUUUACAACCUCCCUUAGCAUAAUUUUUAAUUAGUUACGCGUAUUAUUGUUAAUUUUUUCUUCUUCCUCUCUGUAUGUGUUCGUUAAAAUAUUGUAAAUUGUUUAUGAUAAUCAAAUUAUAUUAGAAAUAAUGAUUCUUUUUUUUAAUCUCUCCGUAGGGUUUGGUCUCCCAAAAAUAUCAAGAAAGGUGGUGCCUGAAAGAGAUUGUCCUGGUGAUUGUGUAAAUUUUAUAUUUCUUUGUCAUCCGAAAAUUCCUACGUGUGUGAAUGGAUUUUGUGUGUGUACAGGGUUAGACAAUAAUAAUUCAACCACAAAACAAGAACGCCACGAUUAAAAAUAAAAACUAUUAGGUUAGUAUAUGGGUACCGUUAUGAAUGCGUAUGUGCGGCUUGUGGCCUUUAUAUGACAGAUUUUAGUAUAUAGCUAGUAUAAUAAUAAAAUAACAAAUUCAAUAAUAAAAUUUCUAAAUUUAAUAAUGUUAUUAUUUUUGGAUGUAAAAUGUGUGAUGUCUUAUAUAAUUAUAUAUUAGGAUGGAAUUAGAGUAAAAAUUGAAUCUAGUUUUUAUCUAAUUUUACGGAAGACAACACGACUUUUACAUAUAAAAAAGGAUACUCCGAUCCCCUG